rnacentral:rRNA from 1 species
UACGAAGGGGGCUAGCGUUGUUCGGAAUUACUGGGCGUAAAGCGCGUGUAGGCGGGUCUUUAAGUCAGGGGGGAAAUCCCGGAGCUCAACUUCGGAACUGCCCUUGAUACAGCACGUCUUGAGUCCGGAAGAGGUGGGUGGAAUUCCUAGUGUAGAGGUGAAAUUCGUAGAUAUUCGCAAGAACACCAGUGGCGAAGGCGGCUCACUGGCCCGGUACUGACGCUGAGGUGCGAAAGCGUGGGGAGCAAACAGG